AACGAACGCUGGCGGCGUGCCUAAUACAUGCAAGUCGAGCGAAUGGAUUAAGAGCUUGCUCUUAUGAAGUUAGCGGCGGACGGGUGAGUAACACGUGGGUAACCUGCCCAUAAGACUGGGAUAACCCCGGGAAACCGGGGCUAAUACCGGAUAACAUUUUGAACCGCAUGGUUCGAAAUUGAAAGGCGGCUUCGGCUGUCACUUAUGGAUGGACCCGCGUCGCAUUAGCUAGUUGGUGAGGUAACGGCUCACCAAGGCAACGAUGCGUAGCCGACGUGAGAGGGUGAUCGGCCACACUGGGACUGAGACACGGCCCAGACUCCUACGGGAGGCAGCAGUAGGGAAUCUUCCGCAAUGGACGAAAGUCUGACGGAGCAACGCCGCGUGAGUGAUGAAGGCUUUCGGGUCGUAAAACUCUGUUGUUAGGGAAGAACAAGUGCUAGUUGAAUAAGCUGGCACCUUGACGGUACCUAACCAGAAAGCCACGGCUAACUACGUGCCAGCCGCCGCGGUAA
rnacentral:rRNA from 1 species